rnacentral:lncRNA from 1 species
ACGCAAGAAGGAAGAAAUUAAGAAAUAUAUACCAAUGGAAUUCAGCACGAUGAAUAUUGUGAUUUCGCCAUCAAGGUAGAGAUUGUUACAUUCGGUGAUAGCCAAAAUCUCUGCUUGUAUAUUUCAUCAAAAGAUUGAGGAUAUUAGGGUGAUUGGGUAAACAGAAAAAUAAGCUUCUUGGGGAGCAAGAAAGAAACCCUACUGAUAUUUGUAUGAGUGGGUCAAUAGGAAUACAAUCACAGAAUAUUUUAGAUGAAGGUAUCAAGAAGAGAACAAUUGCUAAGGAAGAUUACCUCUUAUAUUCGUGAGUUAGCUGAUGCCAAAGCCUGGACCUUCCAUAUACCGAAAAAAGUAAUUAUUCGAAAUUUACAGAUUACGUGGUGCCAACAACAAUCUAAAUCUCUCAUUCUGGUUGCUUGGUCUUCCCUCAUCCCCAUUACUUCAAGUUGAAUAUUGACUAGGCCUCUUUACAUAAUACAAGGUUAGUAGAAGGUGUUGGUGUAAUCAGAGACGGUGAUGACACCUUUAUUGCUGCUUUCGUCACACCUUUUGGUAUUACAGUAAAAAACUAUGUGGAAUUUUAUGCCCUUAAAGAGGGCAUUGAUCUGGCCAUUCAGUACAAUUGUUUCCCAUUGCAGAUUGAAAGCGAUUCCUCCAUGCUCGUCAAUAUCAUUCAAG